AGAACGAACGCUGGCGGCAGGCCUAACACAUGCAAGUCGAACGAGAUCUUCGGAUCUAGUGGCGCACGGGUGAGUAACGCGUGGGAACCUGUCCUUUGGUACGGAAUAACAUCGGGAAACUGGUGCUAAUACCGUAUAUUCCCUGAGGGGGAAAGAUUUAUCGCCAAAGGAGGGGCCCGCGUAGGAUUAGCUAGUUGGUGAGGUAACGGCUCACCAAGGCGACGAUCCUUAGCUGGUCUGAGAGGAUGAUCAGCCACACUGGGACUGAGACACGGCCCAGACUCCUACGGGAGGCAGCAGUGGGGAAUAUUGGACAAUGGGCGAAAGCCUGAUCCAGCCAUGCCGCGUGUGUGAUGAAGGCCUUCGGGUUGUAAAGCACUUUCACACGUGACGAUGAUGACGGUAACGUGAGAAGAGCCCGGCUAACUUCGCGCCAGCAGCCGC
rnacentral:rRNA from 1 species